AUUGAACGCUGGCGGCAUGCCUUACACAUGCAAGUCGAACGGCAGCGCGGGAGCAAUCCUGGCGGCGAGUGGCGAACGGGUGAGUAACAUAUCGGAACGUGCCCAGGAGUGGGGGAUAGCCCGGCGAAAGCCGGAUUAAUACCGCAUACGAUCUAUGGAUGAAAGCGGGGGAUCGCAAGACCUCGCGCUCAUGGAGCGGCCGAUAUCUGAUUAGCUAGUUGGUGGGGUAAGAGCCUACCAAGGCGACGAUCAGUAGCUGGUCUGAGAGGACGACCAGCCACACUGGGACUGAGACACGGCCCAGACUCCUACGGGAGGCAGCAGUGGGGAAUUUUGGACAAUGGGGGCAACCCUGAUCCAGCAAUGCCGCGUGUGUGAAGAAGGCCUUCGGGUUGUAAAGCACUUUUGUCCGGAAAGAAAUCCCCUGGGAUAAUACUCCAGGGGGAUGACGGUACCGGAAGAAUAAGCACCGGCUAACUACGUGCCAGCAGCCGCCGUAAUAC
rnacentral:rRNA from 1 species